rnacentral:rRNA from 1 species
GAUGAACGCUGGCGGCGUGCCUAAUACAUGCAAGUCGAGCGAACGGACGAGAAGCUUGCUUCUCUGAUGUUAGCGGCGGACGGGUGAGUAACACGUGGAUAACCUACCUAUAAGACUGGGAUAACUUCGGGAAACCGGAGCUAAUACCGGAUAAUAUUUUGAACCGCAUGGUUCAAAAGUGAAAGACGGUCUUGCUGUCACUUAUAGAUGGAUCCGCGCUGCAUUAGCUAGUUGGUAAGGUAACGGCUUACCAAGGCAACGAUGCAUAGCCGACCUGAGAGGGUGAUCGGCCACACUGGAACUGAGACACGGUCCAGACUCCUACGGGAGGCAGCAGUAGGGAAUCUUCCGCAAUGGGCGAAAGCCUGACGGAGCAACGCCGCGUGAGUGAUGAAGGUCUUCGGAUCGUAAAACUCUGUUAUUAGGGAAGAACAUAUGCGUAAGUAACUGUGCACAUCUUGACGGUACCUAAUCAGAAAGCCACGGCUAACUACGUGCCAGCAGCCGCGGUAAUACGUAAGUGGCAAGCGUUAUCCGGAAUUAUUGGGCGUAAAGCGCGCGUAGCGGUUUUUUAAGUCUGAUGUGAAAGCCCACGGCUCAACCGUGGAGGGUCAUUGGAAACUGGAAAACUUGAGUGCAGAAGAGGAAAGUGGAAUUCCAUGUGUAGCGGUGAAAUGCGCAGAGAUAUGGAGGAACACCAGUGGCGAAGGCGACUUUCUGGUCUGUAACUGACGCUGAUGUGCGAAAGCGUGGGGAUCAAACAGGAUUAGAUACCCUGGUAGUCCACGCCGUAAACGAUGAGUGCUAAGUGUUAGGGGGUUUCCGCCCCUUAGUGCUGCAGCUAACGCAUUAAGCACUCCGCCUGGGGAGUACGACCGCAAGGUUGAAACUCAAAGGAAUUGACGGGGACCCGCACAAGCGGUGGAGCAUGUGGUUUAAUUCGAAGCAACGCGAAGAACCUUACCAAAUCUUGACAUCCUUUGACAACUCUAGAGAUAGAGCCUUCCCCUUCGGGGGACAAAGUGACAGGUGGUGCAUGGUUGUCGUCAGCUCGUGUCGUGAGAUGUUGGGUUAAGUCCCGCAACGAGCGCAACCCUUAAGCUUAGUUGCCAUCAUUAAGUUGGGCACUCUAAGUUGACUGCCGGUGACAAACCGGAGGAAGGUGGGGAUGACGUCAAAUCAUCAUGCCCCUUAUGAUUUGGGCUACACACGUGCUACAAUGGACAAUACAAAGGGCAGCGAAACCGCGAGGUCAAGCAAAUCCCAUAAAGUUGUUCUCAGUUCGGAUUGUAGUCUGCAACUCGACUACAUGAAGCUGGAAUCGCUAGUAAUCGUAGAUCAGCAUGCUACGGUGAAUACGUUCCCGGGUCU